AGCGAACGCUGGCGGCAGGCCUAACACAUGCAAGUCGAACGAACUCUUCGGAGUUAGUGGCGGACGGGUGAGUAACACGUGGGAACGUGCCUUUUGGUUCGGAAUAACUGAGGGAAACUUGUGCUAAUACCGAAUGUGCCCUUCGGGGGAAAGAUUUAUCGCCAUUAGAGCGGCCCGCGUCUGAUUAGCUAGGUGGUGAGGUAAAAGCUCACCAAGGCGACGAUCAGUAGCUGGUCUGAGAGGAUGACCAGCCACACUGGGACUGAGACACGGCCCAGACUCCUACGGGAGGCAGCAGUGGGGAAUCUUGCGCAAUGGGCGAAAGCCUGACGCAGCCAUGCCGCGUGAAUGAUGAAGGUCUUAGGAUUGUAAAAUUCUUUCACCGGGGACGAUAAUGACGGUACCCGGAGAAGAAGCCCCGGCUAACUUCGUGCCAGCCGCCGCGGUAA
rnacentral:rRNA from 1 species